rnacentral:rRNA from 1 species
AUGGAGACGGUUGAUGCAGUUGAUGGAUACAAGUUUGCUGACGAGUCUACGAGCGAUGUCCGUGUUUGCUUUAGAAGGACCGGCGCUCGCGGCGAGCAGCCAGAAUGGUUUCCCUGCCACUCGUCCGUCCUCUCCAACAGGAGCAAGUAUUUCGCGGACCUGCUGGGUCAAAGUGAUGCCCGUUCUGGUGGUAGCAAUAACUGCAUUGAAGUCCAGUGCCCGAGGGCUGAGUAUGACCAUUAUGUCAAGUUGUUGAAGUUUAUGUAUCUUUCGAGAGAUUCGAUUGAGGACGCAAUCACCUCCGUUAAGUCGGCUCUUGGCGUUCUUCGGGCAGCGACCUCUCUCAAAUCCGAGUUCGUUGCGGAAACCUGCAUCGGAUACCUUGAAUCUGCUUCCUGGGACGAAAAGGAGGAGGAAGAGAUUUUACAGUUUGCUCAGACCCUGGCCCCAGAAGCUGCUGCACCUUUGUUAGCCCGUUUGCAAGCUCCCAGUGCCAACGCUGUCAAGACUGUUUUCAUCUCCGCUGUGCGCUUCGCUACGUCCAUGGAGACUUCAGCUGCUGCUUUCUUUGAUGACCUCAAGACUGCUGCUCAGGAGCAGAUUGACUUCAUGCUCCAUGACGGUGAUGACCCUGCAAUUGUUAUGAUGGAUGAAGAUGUAAGGUCUGUCUUGAGGGAAGGUUUGACAAAACUGUUGUCAACCCUUAGGACCGGACUGGAUCUCUUGGCCUCAGAGUUUGAUAAAUUGCCUGAACAAGCAGAGCAAAGGAUUGUGCGCAGCUUAGUUGACAUUGACUGGAUAACCACUGUCUUGACAAAGAUUGAGCUGAUGAACGAGUUUGUUUCUGGCUGGUUAGAAAUCUCAGACCAUGUUGUCUCGGUGGUUCAGGAGGAGAAGUAUAGCUCAGGUCUCUGGGCUGUGAAGACAAAGCUUAUAGAAGUGACUGGAAAGGCCUUGGAUGCUGUUGGCUAUGGCUCUGUGAUUCUCCCUUCAACAUCCAGAGCGCAUCUUGUGAAGACAUGGCUCCCGUACAUCCGGACAACAAAGCGCUUCCUUGAUGCAAAGGCGAAAGACGAGGCAUUCCCUCGGAUGGACGCGGGCUUGUGCCAGAACAUUGAGAGCGCAAUUGUUUCAUUGAUUUUAGCAUUGCCUUCAGGUGACCAGUCGGAUAUCCUGUCGGAAUGGAUGCAGAAAGCAGACCAGUUCAGAUACCCUGACCUCACCGAGGCAUUUGAGAUGUGGUGUUACCGCAGCAAAACAGCAAUCAGGCGGCUGAAUGGGGCGACAGAUAAGGGUUGCAACCCUAUCAGCUUGUAA